rnacentral:rRNA from 1 species
GUGGCGCACGGGUGAGUAACACGUGAAUGACAUGCCCUUCAGAGGGGGAUAGCCCAGGGAAACUUGGAUUAAUACCCCAUGGUCUCGCAAGAGUAAAGGUGGCGCAAGCUGCCGCUGAGGGAUUGGUUCGCGCCCUAUCAGCUAGUUGGUGAGGUAAUGGCUCACCAAGGCGACGACGGGUAGCCGGCCUGAGAGGGUGACCGGCCACACUGGAACUGAGACACGGUCCAGACUCCUACGGGAGGCAGCAGUGGGGAAUAUUGCACAAUGGGCGAAAGCCUGAUGCAGCAACGCCGCGUGAGGGAUGAAGGCCUUCGGGUUGUAAACCUCUUUUAGCAGGGAAGAAGCGAAAGUGACGGUACCUGCAGAAAAAGCACCGGCUAACUACGUGCCAGCAGCCGCGGUAAUACGUAGGGUGCAAGCGUUGUCCGGAAUUAUUGGGCGUAAAGAGCUCGUAGGCGGUUUGUCACGUCUGCUGUGAAAAUCCGAGGCUUAACCUCGGACUUGCAGUGGGUACGGGCAGGCUAGAGUGCGGUAGGGGAGAAGGGAAUUCCUGGUGUAGCGGUGGAAUGCGCAGAUAUCAGGAGGAACACCAAUGGCGAAGGCACUUCUCUGGGCCGUAACUGACGCUGAGGAGCGAAAGCGUGGGGAGCGAACAGGAUUAGAUACCCUGGUAGUCCAC